GACAAGCGCUGGCGGCGUGCUUAACACAUGCAAGUCGAACGAUGAAGCCGGAGCUUGCUCUGGUGAAUUAGUGGCGAACGGGUGAGUAACACGUGAGUAACCUGCCCUUGACUAUGGGAUAACUGCGGGAAACUGUAGCUAAUACCGGAUACGACCCUCGGAGGCAUCUCCUGGGGGUGGAAAGAAUUUCGGUCAAGGAUGGACUCGCGGCCUAUCAGCUAGUUGGUGAGGUAAAGGCUCACCAAGGCGACGACGGGUAGCCGGCCUGAGAGGGUGACCGGCCACACUGGGACUGAGACACGGCCCAGACUCCUACGGGAGGCAGCAGUGGGGAAUAUUGCACAAUGGGCGCAAGCCUGAUGCAGCAACGCCGCGUGAGGGAUGACGGCCUUCGGGUUGUAAACCCCUUUUAGCAGGGAAGAAGCGAAAGUGACGGUACCUGCAGAAAAAGCACCGGCUAACUACGUGCCAGCCGCCGCCGUAA
rnacentral:rRNA from 1 species